GAACGCAUAUUGCGCUCUUUGGUAUUCCGAAGAGCAUGCUUGUUUGAGUAUCAGUAAACACCUCAAAAGAUUUUCUUUAUUGAAAUGAUUUUGGACUUGAGCAAUCCCAACACCAGUCUUCACGGAUCGGCGGAGGGUUGCUUGAAAUGCAGGUGCAGCUGGACAUUCUCCUGAGCUAAAAGCAUAUCUAUUUAGUCCCGUCAAACGGAUUAUUACUUUUGCUGCAGCUAACAUAAAGGGAGUUUGACCAUUUUGGCUGACUGAUGCAGGAUUUCACAAGGGUCGGUAAAACGAUUUUUGUAAAACUCGAUCUCAAAUCAAGUAAGACUACCCGCUGAACUUAAG
rnacentral:misc_RNA from 1 species